rnacentral:rRNA from 1 species
UUAUAUUUGAGAGUUUGAUCCUGGCUCAGGAUGAACGCUGGCGGCGUGCCUAACACAUGCAAGUCGAGCGAUCUCUUCGGAGAGAGCGGCGGACGGGUGAGUAACGCGUGGGUAACCUGCCCUGUACACACGGAUAACAUACCGAAAGGUAUACUAAUACGGGAUAACAUAUAAAAGUCGCAUGGCUUUUGUAUCAAAGCUCCGGCGGUACAGGAUGGACCCGCGUCUGAUUAGCUAGUUGGUAAGGUAAUGGCUUACCAAGGCAACGAUCAGUAGCCGACCUGAGAGGGUGAUCGGCCACACUGGAACUGAGACACGGUCCAG